UACGAAGGGGGCUAGCGUUGCUCGGAAUUACUGGGCGUAAAGCGCACGUAGGCGGCUAUUCAAGUCAGAGGUGAAAGCCCGGGGCUCAACCCCGGAACUGCCUUUGAAACUAGGUAGCUAGAAUCUUGGAGAGGUCAGUGGAAUUCCGAGUGUAGAGGUGAAAUUCGUAGAUAUUCGGAAGAACACCAGUGGCGAAGGCGACUCGCUGGACAGGUAUUGACGCUGAGGUGCGAAAGCGUGGGGAGCAAACAGG
rnacentral:rRNA from 1 species